CCCAAGUCGCUGGGACUACAGGCAUGCACCACUGCAGCUCCUUAUUCUGAGGUGGGAGCUUAAAGCCCAGAGGAGGCAAGCAGCUCCACCAAGGAGACACAGCUAGCCAAGUGGAAGCAGCCUCAGAUCCAAGUCCACCAAGUCUAUUUUCAGCCCACCUCCAAGUCCAGUCUUCUGCAAGGACUGCUGCUUCCACAAGGUUUCUCUUCUUGGGUCUCCCGAUCCAGGGAGUAGAUUUCAGCUGAAAUGAUGUGCAAAGGAGCCACCUCAAAGCUAUGAAACCGCCAGAAAAUCACUUUGUGAAAGGAAGAAGGCUGGCGACCACCCGUUUGGAAAAUUGCCUUUGUAGUAACUGGGGGGCACACAUGUGUGUGGAAGGAUCAAGCGUCAGCCUUGCUAUGGCCACAGUUUUGAUUUUCCUUUAUUCUUUGUAUUGCUUUCAAAUCAAAGGGAAGCCGUAGCAGAGAACCUCUUGCCCUGAGCUACACAUAUGAAAAUGAACAAGGUUAUGGGAGUCGCGUGUUUUCAAUAAUGGAUCGCUGGUGCCGCCCUUUCUAGGAAAUGAAGCGAGGCUGUUGCUAGGUUGGCGCUUGAUAGAGAAAAAUAUUCACAAAGCCGAGUCCGUUUUGAAGAGAACAUCUGUAAAAUUGGGUCAGCAGAUACGUUACACGUUGGCGUGGAAGAUGAAAUAGAACCCUGUCUGGUCUGAGCUUCACAGCAACAGGGAAGGGCUUUGUUUCCACGGCGGCGCGCACUUGGAUUUGUGCCUUACAGCUCUGAUCCGGCCACACAGCCCAGGCCCCUGGGCAGCCACAGGGCGCCGCCGCCUUCCGCCCUGGCUUUAGGGACAAGCUGGAGCCUGGCGGUGGAGACAGCGUGUGGUUCCUCAGAGAACCACUGGAGGCCGCUGUGGCACCAAGAACGCACGAAGGGCGCCCGGCUGGCGGAGUGGGAGUCUCCAAGGAGUAAUGACUGUCGCACACACUGACUGUUCUCAAAUUCUAGUCCAGGAUUUUAAAGACACUGUUAUGAAUUAACGAGAAUAAAAUACUCGGCAGAUGAA